CAGUAGCCGCGGUAAUACGUAGGGUGCAAGCGUUAAUCGGAAUUACUGGGCGUAAAGCGUGCGCAGGCGGUUUGUUAAGACAGAUGUGAAAUCCCCGGGCUCAACCUGGGAACUGCACUUGUGACUGGCAAGCUAGAGUAUGGCAGAGGGGGGUGGAAUUCCGCGUGUAGCAGUGAAAUGCGUAGAUAUGCGGAGGAACACCGAUGGCGAAGGCAGCCCCCUGGGCCAGUACUGACGCUCAUGCACGAAAGCGUGGGGAGCAAACAGGAUUAGAUACCCCAGUAGUCCCUGUCUCUUAUAC
rnacentral:rRNA from 1 species